AAAUUAAGGCCCGUAUGAAUGGUUAAAUGAAUAUUUAACUGUCUCCUUUAACUAAUCAGUGAAACUGAUCUUUCAGUACAAAAGCUGAAAUAAUAACAUAAGACGAGAAGACCCCGUGGAGCUUAAAACUUUUAACAAAAUAUUAUAAAGCACAUAUUUAUGCCAUAAAGUUUUUAGUUGGGGCGACUUUGGAGCAAAACCCAACCUCCAAGAAAAGGCACCGCCUACACCAAGGCCCACAAGCCAAACUACAAAGACCCAGUAUCAAAUACUGAUCAACGAACCAAGUUACCCCAGGGAUAACAGCGCCAUCUUCUUCAAGAGUUCAUAUCGACAAGAAGGUUUACGACCUCGAUGUUGGAUCAGGACACCCAAAUGGUGCAGCCGCUAUUAAAGGUUCGUUUGUUCAACGAUUAACAGU
rnacentral:rRNA from 1 species